UACGUUUAAUUUAAUGAUUACUAAAACCAGUAGUUCGAAAGAUAUAUUUAAAAAUAAAAGAUAAAAAUCCAAAAAAUUAAUUAUCUAUUAACGUGGAUUUGGACGACAAUAGGUUUUUAGUUUGUGAUGUUUCAUGUGAUGAUCAUUUUCAUGUUCAUCGUCUUUGAAUUGACAUGAGGAUAUCUAUGGAAAAGUAACUAAUCUGAAAGUAAGCCAACAUAUCGUUUGUCCUUUGUGUGCUAAAGAAAAGAUUUUCUUUUCGCAUCGUGAGGAAGUAUUACAUCAAUUAAAAAAUGUUAGGAAGUUGAUUACUUGUCAUGGAAAAGUAUACCAAUGGAAAUUAUUUGUUAAAGAAGUAUAAUUCUAAGGGUUUUAAGAAUAAAUUGGUUGAACCCAAAAUCUGGAGGAAGUACCUAUAUCCAUACACAGAAUAUGCCCAUUAAGAAUACUAGUCCAAAUUUGCUUUAAUGGAACGAUUAGGGCCCGAUAUAUUUGAAACUCAUGUUGGACAUAGUAUUGAGUUGGGUAGAAUAUUAUUCUACGUUAAGUGAGGAUAUCAGAUACCUAUUAUUGUACUGUAUUUUAAUAUAUACAUUAGAAUUGUUGGUUUUUU